UACGUAGGGGCCGAGCGUUGUCCGGAUUCAUUGGGCGUAAAGAGCGUGUAGGCGGCCGCUUAAGUCCUGCGUGAAAUCUCGGAGCUCAACUCCGAGCGGCCGUGGGAAACUGGGCGGCUAGAGUGCGGGAGAGGAGAGUGGAAUUCCUGGUGUAGCGGUGGAAUGCGCAGAUAUCAGGAAGAACACCCGUGGCGAAGGCGGCUCUCUGGAACGCAACUGACGCUGAGACGCGAAAGCGUGGGGAGCAAACAGG
rnacentral:rRNA from 1 species